GACGAACGCUGGCGGCGUGCUUAACACAUGCAAGUCGAACGGAAAGGCCCUGCUUUUGUGGGGUGCUCGAGUGGCGAACGGGUGAGUAACACGUGAGUAACCUGCCCUUGACUUUGGGAUAACUUAAGGAAACGGGGCUUAAUCCCGGAUAGGAGCCCCCCUUGCAGGGUGGGGGUGGGAAAGUUUCGGCGGUUGGGGAUGGACUCGCGGCUUAUCAGCUUGUUGGUGGGGUAGUGGCUUACCAAGGCUUUGACGGGUAGCCGGCCUGAGAGGGUGACCGGCCACAUUGGGACUGAGAUACGGCCCAGACUCCUACGGGAGGCAGCAGUGGGGAAUAUUGCACAAUGGGCGGAAGCCUGAUGCAGCAACGCCGCGUGCGGGAUGACGGCCUUCGGGUUGUAAACCGCUUUCGCCUGUGACGAAGCGUGAGUGACGGUAAUGGGUAAAGAAGCACCGGCUAACUACGUG
rnacentral:rRNA from 1 species